GUUGAACGCUGACAGAAUGCUUAACACAUGCAAGUCGACUGUGGCGGACGGGUGAGUAACGCGUAGAGAACUUGCCUCACAGCUAGGGACAACAUUUGGAAACGAAUGCUAAUACCUGAAACUGUGAGAGAGCUUUGCGUCCCAUUAGCUAGUGGGAGAGGUGACGGCUCACGAAGGCGAGGAUGGGUAGCCGGCCUGAGAGGGUGAUCGGCCACAAGGGGACUGAGACACGGCCCUUACUCCUACGGGAGGCAGGAGUGGGGAAUAUUGGACAAUGGACCAAAGUCUGAUCAAGCAAUUCUGGGUGCACGAUGAAGUUUUCGGAAUGUAAAGUGCUUUCAGUUGGGAAGCGGUACCAACAGAAGAAGUGACGGCUAAAUACGUGCCAGCAGCCGCGGUAAUAC
rnacentral:rRNA from 1 species